CAUUGCGCAAAAAAUACGUGUCUACUAUAUUUGAAUAUUUUAAAAUAGUGACUUCGAAUUUUGGCUAAAUUUUUCUCUAAUUUCGGCAAUUACGGUUACUUUUCUUUCCUUAUCAAUUUAAAACAACAAGCAGCAAAUUUUGUAUGAGUAUGACAAUGCAAUAAAGCAUUUUAAAAGCCAAGAUCUCCAACACAUAUUAGUUAUCGCUAACGUAGUUUCUCGAUAUCCAAAUAUAUAUUUUUAUUAUCAUUCAUCAUGUUUUCUCGAUUUAUAAUUGUACUGGCUUUACUGGCGACGUGUCUGUGUCACGUUUCUUGCCAGGCUUCAGAGAAUGAGGAUGCCUCCUCGGGUUCUGAGGAGUACAAUCGAAGUUUUGUUGACAAUGUUCGCUUAAUAAUUCAAGAUGCUAUUGCGCUCUCAAUAUCUGGUGCUUACCUUCCAUUUACCUUGCUUGGAGGAUUGUUCGUAUAAAAUGGGGAGAUAUUUGCUUAAUGUAGCAGUCAGUUUAUGAGUAUAAUAACUGUUGCUUUGAAAAUAAAUUACAAAUAAAAGCAUUUUCCAAACA